rnacentral:rRNA from 1 species
CCGAUGGAGGGGGAUAACUACUGGAAACGGUAGCUAAUACCGCAUAACGUCGCAAGACCAAAGAGGGGGACCUUCGGGCCUCUUGCCAUCGGAUGUGCCCAGAUGGGAUUAGCUAGUAGGUGGGGUAACGGCUCACCUAGGCGACGAUCCCUAGCUGGUCUGAGGGGAUGACCAGCCACACUGGAACUGAGACACGGUCCAG